rnacentral:lncRNA from 1 species
GAUUUUUCAAAUUCCACCUCUUUCUCAUCUAAUGGUGACCUGUAGCUCCGUGAUAACCACAGGAAGGAUAAAGAAUGGCCAGUGCCUGAAUUUCCAAAUGAUGUGAAGAGCAGGACUUCUGAACAGCCUGAUGUCACCUACCCCUGCCACAAUGGGGAGUCCCACUUCAGAGUAGAGACACGUAUUAGCUCCACAACCUUGAAGUCCUGAGUCCUGAUUUUUGAAUGCUCAGAUUUGACAAUGCUGGAGUAAUCUGAAGUGGAACACCAUUCCCAGGAGGGAAGAACUGACCCAGACACCCCAGUUCUGCCA